UAUUUACUAUUCAAGACAAACUAUUAUCUGCACAUAGUGCAUAUGGAGUUGAGCUAGAGUACUCUCAAAAGCAUUGAGGGGUUGGUGCUUUUGAGUUUUUAGCCACUGGAUGGUGAGAUGUAGGGUUGAGAUGAUGAUAGUAGAUGGUGGUAGGUGGAAUAGUAUUUGAUCCAAAGGUUAUUAAUAAUCAAAUAGUAGAUCCAAGGGCUAGAAACUCAAAAGUACCAAGGGGUUGGUGCUUUCGAGAGUAUUCUAGCUCAAUUCUUGCAUAUGUAUAUUUAUUGCAUUAUAUAUUUUGACUCUGCUAUCCAUUCAUUAGCAAUCUUUUCAUUAUUGAGAAAUUGGAUUGAUAAAUAGAAAAUAUAUAUUGGAUGAAAUAUCAGUAGAAUUUAUGAUGUAUGAACAUAAGAUAAUCACGUUGUGACACGCUCAGGAUUUAAAAUAGUAGGAUUUGAAAUAGUUCUACAUAUGAGGUAUAUUAAAACUAAACCUCUUAAUACGGCUAUAAUAUUUUGAACGAUAAUUAAGCCCAAAAGAUUAAUACAGUUAAACAUACUAGAACUAGAAUAGUUCUAGAAUAGAUGACACAUUGAAAAGUAGAGCCUUACAGUCAGUAUUAGAGACAAAAACCAGCCGAAAGUAGCGGAGUCUGAAAAUGACAGUUUGAGUCAGGGUGAAAUAUAACAUGACUAAACCUCUUAAUUAAUACGGCUAUAAUAUUUUGAAUGAUGCAUGGUUAAGUCCAAGAGAUUAAUACAGUUAAAUAUGCUAGAACUAGAAUAGUUCUAAGAUGGAUGACUUCCUAGGAAGUGGAGCGUUAGAUUCAAUAUCAGAGCCAAUCACUAAUCGGAAGUAGCAGAGUCUGAAAAUGACAAGUUAAGUCAAGGUGAGAUAUAACAUGACUAAACCUCUUAAUCCGGCUAUAACAUUUUGGACAGUGAUUAGAUCCAAAAUAUUAAAAGAAUUAAACGUGUUAGAACUAAAGUAAUUCUAGAAUCGGUGAUUUCCUGAAAAGUGGUAGGAGUGUCAACGACCCCAAUACGAGCGAGCUGGGGCUGGCUCGUGAAUAAACGAGCCGAACACGAGCUAACUCACGAGUUUGCCAAUGAACAACAAGUUAAGAGGAUUAUAUUGGAUAUAUAUAAAAAUUAAAUUUAUAAAAUCUUAUCCAUUAGACUUUGAUCAAAUGGUUGAAACUUUACAUAUAAAUGAGACUUUUUAUAAUUGAGCCCGACUUUAUAUUUUUAUUUUGCUAAAAAUAAAAUAAUAAAAAUAUAUAUUAUAUAUAUAAUUAUUUAUAAAUAUAUAUAUAUAAAUAUAAAUUAAAUAAAUUAUAUAAAUAUAAAAUAUAUGUAUUCGAGCUGUUAUCGAGCCGAACAAGAACGAGCUGAUCCUAACUCGUGUUCGGCUCAUUUAUUAAACGAGUUGAAAAAUUCAGCUCGUAUUCAGCUUGUUUACUAAACGAGUGAUUCGAUCUCGAGCUCAUUUCGAGCCGAGCACGUGCUGGCUCGCGAACAGCAAGCUGGAUUGCCACCCCUAGGCGUCCCACA
rnacentral:lncRNA from 1 species